CGGGGCACAAAAUGAUUAGAAUAAUUAUACUUCAAUUUUCAAUAUGAUAUGAAAGUAAAAUGAAAUAGGAUAAACAAAGUAUAGGAAUAUCAGCAGUCUUUUUCACUGACAUUACAAAACUUAACAGAAAUUGCUAAGAGUAGUCAGGGGCAUCCUUAUCUCUCUCUUAAAACUAAAAUGGCGCUUGUAUGUGCGUUCAAGAGAACAAACUAGGAUAUCAUAAACGAUCGUGAUAAAUAAUGUGAAGUUUGUCAAGAUAUACUUGGGUCUGGAUGGGAAAUCCUUCAUUUCUUUUUUCUUUUAAUUUUGUCCUUUUUUCUGCACUUUUGUUCAUUUUCUCUAAACUCUCGGAACUAUAAACCUCCAUGAUAGCAACUUUUUUAAGUGUUAAGGGACGGAACUGUAAAUCUCCAUGAUAGCAACUUUUUUUAAGUGUAAAAGGACGGAACUUUAAACCUCCAUGAGAGUAGCUUUUUUUUAGUUUAAAGGGAUGGAAUUGUAAAUAUCCGUAACUGAUACUGUUCAAUUGGGUGUAAAGGGACGGAACUGUAAAUAUCCGUGACUGCAACUAUUUAUUUGCAUAUUUGGGCGUAAAGGGACGGAACUGCAACCCUCCUUGACUUCGACUAAUCUAUUUGGUGUAAAGGGAUGGAACUGAAACCCUCCUUGACUUCGACUAAUCUGUUAUGUGUAAAGGGACGGAACUGCAACCCUCCUUGAUUUCGACUAAUCUAUUGGGUGUAAAGGGACGGAACUGUAAACCUCCGCGAUAGCAACUUUUCAUUGGGAGCAAAGGGACGGAACUGCAACCCUCCGUUACUGCAACUAUUCUAUUGAAUUUACAGGGACUAAACUUCAACCCUCCGUAACAAAGACUUUUCCAUAUGAUGUAAAAAUACGGAACUGUAUCCCUCUGUGUCUACGACUGUUGCAUUGUGUGUAAAGGGAUUGAACUGUUACCCUCCGUGUCUUCGACUGUUCCGUCUUAUAU
rnacentral:lncRNA from 1 species